rnacentral:rRNA from 1 species
GACGAACGCUGGCGGCGUGCUUAACACAUGCAAGUCGAACGAUGAAGCCCAGCUUGCUGGGUGGAUUAGUGGCGAACGGGUGAGUAACACGUGGGUGAUCUGCCCUGCACUUCGGGAUAAGCCUGGGAAACUGGGUCUAAUACCGGAUAUGACCUCGGAAUGCAUGUUCUGGGGUGGAAAGGUUUACUGGUGCAGGAUGAGCCCGCGGCCUAUCAGCUUGUUGGUGGGGUAAUGGCCUACCAAGGCGACGACGGGUAGCCGGCCUGAGAGGGCGACCGGCCACACUGGGACUGAGACACGGCCCAGACUCCUACGGGAGGCAGCAGUGGGGAAUAUUGCACAAUGGGCGAAAGCCUGAUGCAGCGACGCCGCGUGAGGGAUGACGGCCUUCGGGUUGUAAACCUCUUUCAGCAGGGACGAAGCGCAAGUGACGGUACCUGCAGAAGAAGCACCGGCCAACUACGUG